CGUUCUUCACUGGCUAGCUUUAUUUUUCUGUCCAUGUAAAGCUGCCAGUUGAAGAGCUGU
rnacentral:pre_miRNA from 1 species